UCAGUGCGUGCAAGUAUUAGGAGUCAGAGAAAGAAGUACAAGCAUGGUAAUGAGUCCUCUGUUGACAAAGGUAAUAGUGCUAGCACUUGUUGUGACCCAUCUUCAAAAAGCACAGCUGAUGCCCAUCUUACAGUAAAUGGUUCUCAAGGUGGGGAGGAAAGCUGUAAUGGUAGCUUGAAUGGGGGAAGUCCUUGCCAUGGUGGUAGCGUAGAUAGGAUGAACUCAAAACCUAAUUUUAAAAGAAGUGGAUCACGUAAUCAGAAAGAUGAAUCUCAGAUAGUACGAAUGAAACAGAGAUAUGAAAUAAUUGAUU
rnacentral:misc_RNA from 1 species